UACGUAGGAGGCAAGCGUUGUCCGGAGUUACUGGGCGUAAAGCGCACGCAGGCGUCGCAUCAGCUGGGGUGACAGUUCCCGGCUUAACCGGAAAAGGACUCUGGAAACUGUGCGACUUGAGGGCUUCAGAGGGAUGUGGAAUUCCAGGUGGAGUGGUGAAAUGCGUAGAGAUCUGGAAGAACACCAGUGGCGAAGGCGGUCUGCUGGGGUCGAACUGACGCUGAGGCGCGACAGCGUGGGGAGCAAACAGG
rnacentral:rRNA from 1 species